AAAAGAUGUAUGGGAGAAGGUCAAAAAUUGUCUACGUUUACCACGUUCAUAGACUUGUGGCAGGAGUUGCAUGUUCAGACAAGGUUAUGUUAGCCUGGAUGGUGCUGCAGCUCUAGAAAGGCAAUUAAAAAGCAAAGCAAACCUUGCAGGAUUUCAAUAUAAGAUGAAGAAGCACGAACUACAGCUGAGCUAUAAAGUUCCAUGCCAAUGAAAUCCAAGGAACUUCCUGGAUAGGAGGCUGAAAAUGAUACCAAGGAAGGCUAUGCAGAAGACCAUCAUAGCAGCAUAGUGUUACGAUCGGAGGGUGACUCUUCUGGAUUUUCCAUCAGUCAUAGCUCUGUUAGCACAGACGCAACGCUGACUGUGGAAAAUGUACAGUUGACCUGGUUCAGCAAGAGUGAGACGAGGGAGGGCAGGCUGUCUUCUCUACAGAUCACCCAGUGACCACCACUCAUCCUCAUCUCACUUUCAGGAUUCCUAUGUCUAUGAUGCCUCUUUUAUACCAUGCUGCUUUAGUUUAUAAUCUGAUAAAACUACAAAAUAAGAGAUGUUGCAAGAAGAUUGUACUGAAAUGCUGCAUGAUUUUCUUCUCCAAGCUCUUCACAUUAAAACACAAUUCAAUCUGAAAUGGCACUUGUGUCAGCUUAUUGUUCAAACUGAA